GUAAAUGACUCAUCUGGCCACGAUAACAAAAGUAAAGCAAUUGAUGAUUAUUUAUUUCCGACAGAAGACACAGUACCUCGACACACAUUAAAGCUGCUUGACUCCGACAAAACAAUUAAAUCUCUAUUAACAAAUCACCAUUUACGAAAUUUACUUGUAUCUAUAAAGAAUUCA